rnacentral:rRNA from 1 species
CCCAUCUCCGAAAGCGCUUAGCGCCCGAGGAUGGGUCUGCGGCGGAUUAGGUUGUUGGUGGGGUAACGGCCCACCAAGCCGAAGAUCCGUACGGGCCAUGAGAGUGGGAGCCCGGAGAUGGACCCUGAGACAAGGGUCCAGGCCCUACGGGGCGCAGCAGGCGCGAAAACUUUACAAUGCGGGCAACCGCGAUAAGGGGACCUCGAGUGCUGGGUUACAAACCUGGCUGUUGGGCUGCCUAAAAAGCAGUCUAUAGCAAGGGCCGGGCAAGGCCGGUGGCAGCCGCCGCGGUAAUACCGGCGGCCCGAGUGGCGGCCACUUUUAUUGGGCCUAAAGCGUCCGUAGCCGGGCUGGUAAGUCCUCCGGGAAAUCUGGUCGCUUAACGAUCAGACUGCCGGAGGAUACUGCCAGCCUAGGGACCGGGAGAGGCCGGGGGUAUUCCCGGGGUAGGGGUGAAAUCCUGUAAUCCUCGAGGGACCACCAGUGGCGAAGGCGUCUCACCAGAACGGAUCCGACGGCAAGGGACGAAAGCUAGGGGCACGAACCGGAUUAGAUACCCGGGUAGUCCUAGCCGUAAACGAUACUCGCUAGGUGUCGGCCACGGUGCGACCGUGGUCGGUGCCGUAGGGAAGCCGUGAAGCGAGCCACCUGGGGAGUACGGCCGCAAGGCUGAAACU